GAGCGUUCAUUAUUGAUUUAUUAUCAUCCAUUAUUAUUUAUUGUUAUCAGUAUUUAUUAUUCGUAUAUUAUUAUUGAAUUAUUAUCAACAUACAUUCUCUUUAUAUUAUCGUUUAUUAUUCAUUUAUCCAUCGUAUUAUUCAUUUUCGUUUAUUAUUCACAGAUGUUAAUACUUUAGAAGCUUUUAGAUUCCUCGACUAAUUAACUAGAAGCAAAAAUUUAUUUAUACAAUUUACAGUAAUUUAUUUGUAGAUCGCCACAAUGUUUAGGCUGUUUUUGAUAGUUCAAUAACGAAGCUUCUGAGACAAAAUUUAUUAAUUUCGAAUGAAAAAUGAAUUACCAUAGUUGAAAUUUCGAAAACAUAUUUCAUUUAUUUGCAUCGUAACGCUUUCACGUUUACAUUAUAAAUUGAGCUCUUGUUUGAAAUAUUUUGUCGUAAAAUCGUGGAACGCAACUGGAAUAUCGCAACAAUGCGGAUCAUCCUACGUACUUAUUCUCUUGCUGAAGUAAGCAAAAUACUCAAACUUUUUAAGACAUAACAUAAUUUUACCUCGAGACGCAUUACGGUAUUACGACAUCGAAAUAUAAAUACGAAUAGUUAUCACUUUUCGCUAAAAGGCAGGUUUCAUUUGCAUUUAAUAAAUACACGCUCUAUAUUUACAAAUAAAUAUCGAAUAAACGUUCAAUUGCAUUUAAAAAGAAUGCAAUUAACCUUUGCAAACACACUGGUGAAUUUGCAAAGAAAAUUACUCUGCAAUAUUUGGGAGUUUAUAAUCGAACUUGUGAGAAUCAUUUGUUAAGUCCUGAUUUUCAAUUUUCUAUUUUUUCCAUUUUGAAAACUACGUUCAUAAAAAUAUUCAUUUGCACACAAAUCCACAGUUUAGUGAUAAUCUAAGCUCUUUCGGGCAGUUGCACGCUAAUCAUUUACACGGAUAAUAAAAUUGAACGACAAAUUUCGCUCUCAGCGUUCCUUAUGAAAAUUGCCUUCAGACAUAUCCCAUUAAUCUCAAGGGUUGAGACACUCUAGCAUUGAUUCAUACUCUCCUUAUCUCCAUUCGAGUAAUAGAACAUCACUUACGACUUACAAAUAAUCAUUACAUUUAAACAAAAUUAAUACAUCAUCGCCCAUGUAUGUACAAUGCGUGUGUACGAGGCUAAUACAAAAUUUGACUUGCCAAUUUCGCGACCAAAAAUCUGUACUUUCGAAUUAAUCAAUGAAAUGAUCCGAGGACGAAUUCUUUAUGAAAGCAAGAGAUUCUGGAUGAAAAAUUAAACGAUCUUGCGCGUUUCGAGAUUCGCCAUGUAUGCACUCCAUUCGCAGAUACUUAGCAGAACGCGACAUUCCAAUGACGAUCGAGAACAAAAAUAAAAAUUCACUGGCAACGUUCGCAGGUCGUACUCGCACGCAGGUAGACCACGUUCGCGGAUCAGGUUCGCAGGCCAUGUUCGCAGGCCAUGUUCGCAGAUUAGGUAUGCACGUUGGCACGUUCGCAAGUCACAUUCGCACGCUCGCAGGCCACGUCGGCGGACCCGGUUCGUAGGCCAUGUUCACAGAUCAUGUUCGCACACUAGAUACGCGCGUUCGGAGGUCGCAUUGGCGGGCAACGUUCGGGGAACAGGUUCGCACGUCCUGAGGCCACUUUCGCAUGUUAGCAGGCCACAUUCUGACGUUUCGCAGUGCGACAUUUCAACGAGGAUCGAGGGCAAAGAUCAAAAGAUGGAUACAAUGUAAAGCUUUCCCGAAACUCGAUAUCAGAGGAUCCGAGGUGUUUUCUCUGCUCUCUGGCUCAGUUGAGAUGUCUUGAAUGGCUACCUCUUUGUCUAAACUACACGCGGUGACGUUUAAGUAAAUAGCGCCGAUGCCAGGAACAAUCUUACCGUUCAUUCGUAAGUAUCACGCAGAAAUCAUUUUGUUUCCCUUCCGUUCCGUCAGAUAUCGUGCUGGCGUUUCACAAAGAACAGAAUGUUUGUGUUACUUUUAAAAUUUUCUUAGGAUAGACGUCAGAAAUUCACUCUUCGAUCAGGUCGCGGUUACGAAUGAAUUUCAUGAAAAAAAUUAACAACAUACAGCGUAACAGUUUGUAGCAGAACAAAACUUAGCGAUCUAAUACAACGUCUUGUUAACACGGAACGAUAAAAAUUACAGUCGCGGUUUGGACCAUCUCUUUUUUUAUUCUUUAAAGAAGGGAAGUGGAGUUUUUAAUUGGAAAUUAAAAUUAUACGCGUCUUUCUAUUUAACGAGAAUUGACAAACGAGAAUAAAACUAUCGAGCGAUAGAUUCUGAUGUACCUGAUGAUUCUUACUAAUCCUCUAUCGAUCAUUGAGGGAAUUGUUGCUCACAUUUAUUAUUUACUCAAAGACCGAUGAUAUUCAUCGACUAAUAAGAUCAAGAUCGAACAAUGUUUAUUUCGUUUUUUGUCGACUGCAUUCCACGCUGUGCUUGUGGCCGAAAGUGCACUCGCACGGAGGAUUGCGAGAGAGAAACGAUGUCCCGUAGUGGGUUUGCUACUAUCAUCCAAUUUACAAGCGAACCGUGUGCAGCGGUUAAUAGCUGCCGGAAUAAUGGGCAUCGUGCAGGUAGUGAUGGGAUCGAAACGAACAUACAGCAAACGUAAAUCUUUCGGAUAAUAAAAGUUUCUUUCACUUCUGUCAUUCGUCUAAGACGUCGUUUCUUUUGUUCUUUUUCUUUUAUAUCCCUACGUCGCGGAGAAACAGAUUUUGCGAGUAGUCGUAAAGUUUAUUUCUGCGCCUAGAACGACGCGUGUCGUGUGGUCUCGCGCGCUUUCAAAGACCGUAUUUUUGGAUCUGUACAGUACUCCUCGAAACGGCCGUUAUACACGUCGUAAUAAUUAAUACCGCCUUUGCUUGUUGAAGGUUAUGGUUUUAUAAAUUCUGGUUUUAUAGAGAGGAGAGCGUGUACAGUAUGCUAUAUUCUCGGAACUUAUGCUGUGCAAUUUGAAGAAUAUUGGAUUUUUAACGUUUCUGCAAAUCUUUCCAAGCUCUCUUAUUAUCGAACCGAUGAAAAUACUUUCUCGGUAUUUUCGACUUCUAACGUGAUAUUUCUAUCGUGAACUAAUUGAAAAAUUCUUUCGGUGCAUCUUCGAUCCUUUGCUUACAUUUUCUAUAAAUACACAAAUAUCUAUAGUCUUGUAACUUUUGAGCGAAUCUGUAUGUGAAAGUUUCCUCUUUUCCUCAAAGUCGCUCUUUGAUCCAAUCGAUACAUUUUCAAUAACUUCAAACCAAACCACGAUUCCCUUGUAUAAAAAGUUUAUGCGAUAUUAAUAUUUCACGAAGAUUCAAUUUUUUUAAAUGCCUAAUAUCUUGUCUUUAUAGCGUUGAUCUCCGUUAGGGAACGAACACGAUUGACGACUAUUAAAUUCUACGAAUUCCAGGAUUUUCUCCUUAUUUUAUAGGAAUUCGUAUUUCUCGGCCAAAGUAGAUAUUACAGAUUCGAGUAACAAGUGGAUAAUAAUUCUUAACUACAAGCGUGCUAACAAGAGCGAUUUCUGAUUUUAAAGAAGCACCACAGAGUGCCGCGAGUUAUCUGUCACGAGAUCGCCUAAUAAAGACCGAAUUCUCGAACAUCUUUCUACUGGCCAGAGAACGAGGAUGCUGUGCUCGUUCACGCUCUUUGUGCGCGACUAGCGUGUUCGACACGUUGGCAUCAACGUGACCUGUUAAUGGUUCAAUCUGCCACAAGAUGCGCCAAAAUACAUUCUCAGAAACAAUAAUUCUUCUACAAAAGACACUUGGCGAACGUUCCCUUUGAAAUCUAUUAAUUUCCACUAGGUUUUUCAAAAUUAGGCGAUAGGCUGUAUAAAAGCUAAUUAUUUUUUAUCAAAUAUAUUACGUUAAAGGUAUUUAUUAAUUAACGUUAUCUACUAUAAAACCACUUUCUUCAAUUUUUGCGUAACAAACAUCGUAGAAGUUAUAGGUUUCGAGAUUUUCAAACGUAUUAUGACUCUAUACUGGAAAUACUGAUAAAAGAUGAAGUACAACAAAUUUGUAAUAAAAAAAAAAAAAUCAAAAUGGAUAGCAUACGAUGAAAUUAUAAUGCAAGGGACAAGAUAAGCUUUUAUUCAUAUAUUUUGCAAAAGAAUCGUUCAAAUCGUCGGAAUGUAUAAAAUUUCUACGAAGAAUUAUAAAUUUCUCACUUUGACCAUUCUGAUAGUUCUAGCGUCAGGUAAAGGUAUCGCGUUUCCUUCCAAUUUCACCUACUUGAAAGUUAUAUCGGAUUAUCUAUCAUCGAGGGAGCCUCUUCGCCCUUUGUGCGAUGCAAAAGCCGGGAAACAUCAAAUCUUAGAAAUAAUUUUUCCAGUUGUAGAUAUUUAAGAGAAGGAUAUCAAACUAUCAACCAUGAAACCACGUUUUCAAAUUGAAUUUUGGAUUUGCACCCUCGGAUUUUGAUUAAAGAUUCGAAAGAGUACGGAUUAAAAGAUCGCAAGAAUGAGAUACAUCGUUCUGUUCAUUGUAAAUAUUAUAAUUGUCAAAUAUUUUGGAGCAGGAGAAAAGGUAAAAUGAAUGGGUAAAAUAAUGAGUAAUGAAAAAUCUCGAAGGGUAAAAAAAAAUCGAACAAAAAUGUGUCAGUUUAAGCGUUCGUGUAUUUUUUAUGCAAAUUCUAGCAGAUAGAACUGGACAACAAUCUCCAUGAAUAUGUUCUGACAGCACGCGAAAAUCGAUCCCAUCGCUAUCUGCAAGCCGGUUACGCAAGAACUCGCCACGUGUCUCGUAUGAAUCGCAAUCUUCUAUGAUAGACGUGACAGAACAGGAAGGAGGAAUGAGAUUGCGAACAAGUAACUAUUCGAUUGAUAUAAAUAUUUAAAUCGUUUCUCGUUAUACAGGACCCGUGGCGAAUGUACGAUUUAUUUACAGUGGUUGAACAUGAGUGACGAGAAAAUGAGAAACUAUGUACAUAAAUGCGCUUGUGAAAUGAUAUUUACGAAUACUUGGUGGAAGAAGUAUAAUGAAUUUUCUAAUAUUUUUACACUAAACUUAUCAAUGCUUUAUAUGUUACAUCUGGACUUUUAUUAUUUAAGAAAACUUAUUCGCAUUUCAUGCGUUUUAAUACAUAGGCGUGUAAAUUAAAUCGACGAAAUAUUGACGAAAGUUUAUUGAAUGCUUUAUUUAGGAAUAUAAUACUAAUUUCAUCGUUAAAAUAAUUUCUAUGUUAAUUUUUAAUCUUCUAAUCUAUAUUCAAGAUUGUCGGGCAAAGUUACGAACGGUGCUCCUUUAAAGGAUAUUUAUACAUUUAUAAGAGAUUUACAAGAUAGGAAAAUAUUUAAAUUUAAAAUAAUUACCUAUAAAAAGUUAUUAAAUCUAGAUACACCGAAUUAAUUUACACACCUAAUAUUAAAAAUAUAUAUAUAUUCCAUAAUAAUAAUUAUUCACAUUUUUCUAUUUUUUAUUAAAAAAUAGAGACACAAAUAAUUAAAACUAUAGAAUUUUUCAAACGUUUCGCUAUACUUCUUUCGAUACUUCGCUAAGUCCGUAUACGCUACCCGUUAGGUAUACUCUUGAAACAGUAGAAUUUGAAAUGGCACACUCGAGCGUUCAGAGUCGAGAGUCGAAUUAAAUAAAUUAACUAAUACAACUGAAAACUAGUGGCGAAUGACGUCAAACACAUCUGGUGGUUCGCGACCCUCGAAUUAUUAUGCACCGUUCGAGCGUGCCUCGAGUAUCUCACUAUACAGUACGGAGGCAAAAUUGAACGUUGUUAAACGACACGGCUAUUUUCUAUCGCAUAUAUAUCCGUUUAUUUAUAUCUACAUACCUAUUUACUCGUCUUUCAAUUCGCAAUACACAAUUGCAUUUCUCUUUCACUUUCUUCUUUCAUCUUGUCGAGUUUGUUCUUGCCGGAUCGCAAUAUUCGCGCAAUGAUAUUUCGUAAAACUCGACAGUUUAAACAAAUUUUUAAAUCGUUCGAUUUUGCCUCGAAAUAAUUCCAAUGCUGUGGAACAGUUUCUCUUCUUUUCAUGCAGAACAAGAAUUAACGCUGUCCAGGCUGAAAAAUUCAGAGAGCUUUCCUCUUGCUCUUUUACAUAAUUGUAUUAAGCGAUUCGAACUAUUCAGAAGUCAAUCUGACCAAUUUUAUUGGAAAAUUGGUUCCACUGUUCGUGAAGUUAAGCGGUAAUUGCGUGUUACGGUAUUUAAAUUGUAAGAUUUUGGAAAUUGUCGAAUGGCGCAGAGUCACGCAGAAUCUAAGCUUCAUUCUAUAGAAGCGAAUUCUUUGAUUUGCGAAAGAUACCGCGCUAUCGCAUCUUCUUAUUCGCAAUAAUUUACUAGUUAAUGAUGUUAGUGAAUUGAAUCGAAUAGGAUAAUCAUAGGAUACGUAAAUUGUAAGAUUUCAUUUGUUUUAUUACCAAACUUAUUCCAUUAUUCUUGUGAUUCGUUUAACCCUCCUAUCGUAUCAGAUAAUAAUGGAAAUUCGUCAAAAUCUUAAAACUUUAUCUCGAUCAACAAAACCAAAAAAAAGAAACAUCUGCAUUAAAAUUUAAGGAUGCGAUUAAAUCACGUAAAAUUGAUUAAACGCAAUAGGGAUAUUAAAGGCCAGAUUGACUUCCUUCUAUUCAAAAUGACACUCAAAUAAAGACGAAGCGAGAAAUUCUCCACCUAAACCUCAUCAUCCAAAAAGGAAUCGCGAUUCUGACUUUGUUCUCCGAGAAAAUUCCGAUCGCCUCGCAUAUUUCGUCUGCCUCUCGGUUGCUCGGUAUUUCUUACCAUCGUCCUUAGUGACUAGUUCGUUCAGCACUAAUUUAUUAAAUGUAGAAUUCCUUAGCUCUAAUACUAGUGAGAUCAUUGUUCGACAAGGGAGCUGAAAGUGACCGGCAACUUAACGAGAGCAACGAAACGGAGAAACAAAAUAAAAGAAAAAAAAAAAAAAAUAAAGAAAGAA